rnacentral:lncRNA from 1 species
UAUUUAUAGAAACCAACUGUAACUAACAUUUGUGUCUUCUGUUACCAUUUUUCAGGCCCAUCCACAUCUUUCAUUUUGAUCUUGUUUCACAACUCAAUCAAGUGUUUUUCUAAAUUCUCACUUUAGAGUUAAUGACUGUGAGCAUGAGAUAGGAGCUGUGUCUGGGCUUGUUAUAGAAGAAUAGUAAGUAUAUAAAAUUCUGUAAAAUCAACUUUAUUGAGCUAUAAGUUGCAUACAAUAGAAUGCACCUAUUUUAAGUGUGCAGUUCAAUGGGCUUUGGCUUUGACCAACAUAUACUUAAAAAACUUCCUUAAAUUUUGCAUCUUGCUCCCAUGUCAUCAUUAUAAAACCCGAAUGGAAUUCCACUUGCUAAAAACUCCCUUUUUCUUAUGCAUAUUUAAUGUUCACUCGAAAAUCUAAAUGCAUCUACAGAAAGAAAACAAACAGAACUAUUUCUGUUUAAAAGUAAUUCUUUAUUUUUAAAUCUCCUGUGUGCCCACAGACAUCCAGGGCACAAAAUAAAGAGCAUGCACGUGGCAGCUCCAGAUCCCAUAGGCACAGGGAUGUGACACUGGAUUUUCCAGAAACGCAGCUACCACACAAACCAAGGGAGAUGGCUCUUUGUUUUUUGGGGACUUCUCCAAGAAUCGUUCACCGUGGCAGAGCCUCACGGUGCUGAGAACAACACCACUGAUGCUGGCUUCCAUCCAUUGGCCUCUGCAGCUGUCCCUUGAAAACAUGUGCCAGACAGUCCUGGAGAAUUCUUUUAAGAGACUAGGAGCAAGUAUUAUCUAGUGUAUGUUAAAUAUACACAGAAGAAACUUUGGUUUUGGGUGGGGGAUGGUGGCUUGCGUCUGUAAUUCCAGUACUCUGGGAGGUCAAGGCAGGAGGAUAGCUUUAGGCCAGGAGUUCGAGACCAGACCUGGCAACUUAGUGAGACUUCAUCUCUACAAAAACCAAAACAAUUACUGGGCAUUGUGGCUCAUGCCUGUAAUCCCAGCACUUUGGGAGGCCAAGGUAGGAGGAUUGCUUGUGUCCAGGAGUUCAAGACCAGCCUGGGCAACAUAGUGAGACCCUGUCUCUACCAAAAAAAAAUAAAAAAUUAGCCUGGCAUGGUGGUGUGUGCCUGUAGUUUUAGCUACUUGGGAAGCUGAGGCAGGAGAAUCACUUAAGCCUGAGAGGUUGAGGCUGCAAGGAGCUAUGAUCAUGCCACUGCACUUCAGCCUGGAUAACAGAACAAGACCCUGUCUCCAAAAAAAAAAAAAAAAAAGAAAGAAAGAAAAGAAAAGGAAAGAAAAAAAAGAACUUUGGUUUUCUAUGGAAAAUAGACACAAAUCUUUCUUAUUUCUAGGCACAAACAAUUGUUCAGGCUUUGCACAUGAGUGUCCCACAGAACAUUUGCAAGGUGGCAGGAAGCUGAGUGUUGCAGUGAGGGGCUGUCCUGGACAAUGGGGGCACCUGUUGCUCUGGCUGUGCCACCAAAUGCCAGACACAAUCAUGGCAACCACCAAAGGGCUCUUAUAAAUGUCUGAAUGCCACUGUAGAGAAAUACUGUUUUUAAAGGGGCAUUGGGCUGCAGGGUGGCAAGAGUCUCAUCAAAGUGUGCGCCCAAUUCAAAUACUCACCUUCCCCUCUGUUACUGUUACCAGAAAGGGGUCCCGAUCCAGAUCCUAAGAGGGUUCUUGGACCUUACAUGAGAAAAAAAUUGAGGCAAGUCUGUAAAGUGUGUUUCACAUGUCCGUAUGAAGAGACUACCAAACAGGCUUUGUGUUAGCAACAUGGCUGUUUAUUUCACCUGGGUGCAGGCAGGCUGAGUCUGAAAAAGGAGUCAGCAAAGGGUGGUGGGAUUAUCAUUAGCUCUUAUAGGUUUUGGGAUAGGUGGUGGAGUUAAGAGCAAUGUUUUGGUGGUAGGGGGUGGAUCUCACAAAGUACAUUCUCAAGGGUGGGGAGAAUUACAAAGAAACUUCUUAAGGGUGGGGGAGAUUAUAAAGAAUCUUCUUAAGGGUGGGGGAGAUUACAAAGUACGUUGAUCAGUUAGGGUGGGGCAGAAACAAAUCACAAUGGUGGAAUGUCAUCAGUUAAGGCUAUUUUCACUUCUGUGGGUCUUCAGUUGCUUCAGGCCAUCUGGAUGUAUAAGUGCAGGUCACUGGGGAUAUGAUGGCUUAGCUUAGGUUCAGAGGUCUGACAAAGUGAAAGCAAGUUUAUUAGGAAAGUAAAGGAAUAAAAGAAUGGCUACUCCAGCGGCAGAACAGCGGUAUGGGCUGCUCACUGAUUACACUUAUAGUUAUUUCUUGAUUAUAUGCUAAACAAGGGGUGGAUUGUUCAUGAGUUUUCCAGGAAAGGGGUGGGCUAUUCCUGGAACUGAGGGUUCCUCCCCUUUUCAGACCAUAAAGAGUAACUCCUGGAUGUUGCCAUGGCAUUUGUAAACGGUCAUGGCGCUGGUGGAGUGUCUCUCAGCAUGCUAAUGUAUUAUAAUUAGCAUAUAAUGAGCAGUGAGGACAACCAGAGGUCACUCUGUCGCCAUCUUGGUUAUGGUGGGAUUUGGCUGAGUUCUUUGCCUCAAACUGUUUAAUCAGCAAGGUCUUCGUGAUCUGUAUCUUGUGCCAACCUCCUAUGUCAUCCUGGGACUUAGAAUACCAAACUUCCUGGGAAUGCCGCCCAGUAGGUCUCAGUCUCAUUUUACCCAGCCCCUAUUCAAGAUGGAGUUGCUCUGGUUUGAAUGCCUCUGAGGUUACAAUGCAGGAAGCAUUUCUCUCAGACCUCCUCUCCCCCUCAGUAUCAGUCUUUCUCCCUCUGCUACCUCAAAACCAAAUAUUAAAAACAAAACAAAACAAAAAAUACUCCAAUCUUUCCCUUGACCACCCUUUCCAGCCACAACCCAUUUCUCGGUUCCCUUUCAGUGCCAAACUCCUCAGCAGAGCCGUCCGCUCCUGCUGUCUCCAUUCUAUCACCUCACACCCACUUUUUAAUCUAAGCGAAAGAAUCUGAACAUACAGAAGAGUGCAGAGAAUUCACAGCCCAGAUUUGACAACUGCAAACAUGUUGCUGUAUUUGAUUGGGAUUUGUGUGUUUCAUCCUCCCCACCCUUUCCUCCCAUGCCUCCCGCCUCUGAGCCCUACCCGAGGCUGGGUCCCGUAUUCCACACUCACCGCCUGGUUGAGGCAUCCCAGUGGGGCGGCGCCUCCAUCUAUCUGGGAGUUUGGCUGGUGGCCACCUGCGCCUCGGGUAGGGAAGCUCCACGAGACAGAGAUCUCGUCCAUUCUCACCCCAAGCUCUCCCGCACCUCGUUAAGGCAUCCAAUAAAUAGUUGUUGCGCCGAAGAAUGGCCACCCACAAGCUGAACUCCCAGCCUGAUCCCUGAUUGCCAAUAACAGGACCUUACACAUCAAUUCAAGCCUAAUUAUUUCCCUUUUGAUUUUUUUUUGUCUUCUAGUUCUGAUCAUUUUUGUAAUAAGGCACUCCCUGGUGGAAACAUGGAAAGUACAGAGAGGUAAAAAGCGGAAGGGGAAAACUCACUCAUAGUCCCAUCAUCCAAAAACAGCCCAAUCUCAUGGCUCAAGGCAACACCUCUUUGUCUUAACUAUUUUGACGUGGAUGCAACAGGUAGAGAGUUUCAUUCACCAGAAACUCCACCAUCGAUCCUCAUAAGAAAAGCAGAGAGAGAACUACGUGCUCCCUGGGGUCCCAUGGGUGGAAAUGAGGUCCUCAGUCCAGUUCCUGUGAAAAGAUGUCUCGAGAGUUUUUUUUGAGACAGAGUCUCACUCUGGUGCCCAGGCUGGAGUGCGGCAGCACGAUCUUGCCUCACUGCAACUCCCACCUCCUGGGUUCAAGCAAUUCUCAUGCCUCAGCCUCCUGAGUAGCUGGGAUUACAGGUGCCCACCACCAGGCCCAGCUAAUCUUUUUUUUUUAAUUUUUAGUAGAGAUGGGGUUUCGCCAUGUUGGCCAGGUUGGUCUCAAAUGCCAACCUCAGGUGAUCUGCCCGCCUUGGUCUCCCAAAGUGCUGGGAUUACAGGCAUGAGCCACCAUGCCUGGCUGAGUCAUUUUUGGCUGCAGAAAGGUUUGGAGUUCCCCCUGGUGGGUGGGGGAUAUCAAUGAGGGGAGAGGUGGAGAGAUAUCAGCAACUUCUGUGCCUGGGAAACUUUGAGAUGGGGAAGAGAAGCCUACACUGGAUUUAUGGGUAGCCUUCUAGGCAAAGCUCUCUGUGAAUCAUUGUGGCUUCUGGAGUCCAGCUGCCAUUUCCUUUAGUCCUACAUCAAGCUGGGCCACGUGGAGCCCUGCGAGUGAUGGGUUACAGUGACAGUUGCACAUGUAUAUGUCUGAGGGAACUUCAUUGUAGCCAACAGCUCCUGCUCAGGAUUGAAAGAAAUAGAAUAUCAGAGGCAUAUUAGUUUUCCAGAGAAACAGAACCCAUAGGCUACAUAGAGACAUAAGAGGAGAUUUAUUAUGGGAAUUGGUUCAUGCAAUUAUGGAGGCUGAGAAGUCCACCAUCUGCCACCUGCGGAGUGGCCUCUGGGGGCCAGGGCAGGAUGGUGAGGGAAGGGAGGGAGUCAGAACCCCCUCCUGUACACACUUCCAUGUUGAUAUUAUUACAUUUUGUUGUAAUAAUUCAUUUAUGGGUUUGUGCCUCCCAAUGACUUCCUGUUCCUCUAAGGGGACUAUGUCUUAUUGAUCUUUGAGUUACCAGCUCCGUGGACAGCACC